CAGCCAAGAGGCAACCAAAUGCAAUACAAAGAAUUGGUCUGAAGUCCAUGCUGAAGGCCAUACCAAGUCUCUUGUUUCAGAGAAAUAUAUAACUAUAUCUAUAGAUAUAUAGUUAGAUAUUGAUAUAGAUAUUUAUACUAAAUUUAGGCAAAAAAAAGUAAAGUAAUUUUGCUCUGUUAACUUCUCUAAUUCAAGAGGAAAAUCCUGGAGAACCAACCCACCAUGUUUACCAUUUGCAUUUUAGGCACAAUGUUCUAUUUGCCCAUUGAAUUACAGUAUCCCUUCUUGUUACUCUCUGUCCAUUCACUGCACUGACAGCCAAGAUGAAGUCCCAUGACCUAUGGUUAGGAUAAUCUGAAACUCCUAUACAGGAGUCUGGAUCUGAACGACUGACAUGGGAGUGAGAGAGUGACUGGGUUUCAUGUGUGGGAGUGCGUCAUGGUGGCAGGCUGGUGCUGCAUGUGUUAGAAUGGUGGUGUGCAGUGGCAGUGGCUGGUGACAACGGAACCUUGGCUGUAUUGCACUUGCUGUCUCACCUCCAGAAAAUAAAUUAGAAUAAAGUAAACAAGCACAAUAAAAUGUACAGAAUAAUAAAUGCUGUAUCCAUAGCACUAAGCGAUAAAAAGCCAAUAUGAGUGUGUGUUGGGAAUGUUAUUUAAGUAGAGCGGUCAAAGAAUGAUUCUCUGAGAAGAGGUCCUUUGAGAAGAGAGCUGAAUGACAAAAUGAUGUAAGCCAUGAGAAUAAUUCGGGGCCAAAUGGAUCAAAUAGAGGAUAUGACGAAUACAAAGAGUAUAAUAUGGAAGUGAGGUUAAUGUGAACUGGAGAAGGAAACUGCAUAGCAAGAUGUGAGGCAGAAUGGCACGAGAGAAAGUUUAUUUGUUGUGUAGCAUGAAGAUAAUCAUUGUAUUAGCAACUAUGAUCUGAAUUGUUCCCAAAAGAAAAGAAAAUGCUUUCAAUCUAGUAAAAUAUCCAUCAAUCUUCUUGGAAAGUUAAGGUGAGAAGUUGAGAGCGUAUUUUGGAGGAAGGCAAAAAAGAAAGUGCUACCUAAGAAAUAAACAAGAAUUUGGAAGCCAAGUGAAGAAGACCAGAAAGUAGGAGGUGAGAACCAAGAGUCACUUUAGACUGCUGGAGCCCAAGUUGAUGGAAAUAAAUCCAGGGUCUUCUUGAAAAACUGAGAUAUUUAGUGUUUAAUUUUCAACUUUCUGUUUAUUUGUUUCCAUGGAACCAUUAUAUCUUAGCUUCCAUUAAAGUUCUAUUACAUACAGCUGCCUGUGUUGAGUGCUACAUAAUGGAGUGUGGGAAUGGAGAUAAGGAAAACAGCUCUGGGAUACAAAAUGGAGACAGAAUUUCACAGAAGCCAGAGAUGGAAAUGACAUGAAGAGAAGAGAUAUUGAGAAUUCACAGAAAUCUUAGUUCCAGACAAUCUUACAGAAGACUGCUGCUCACAAGGACCUAGAGUAAGGUGACUUAAGCCCAGAGAGCCUUCAUCAAACAAAAGCUGCACGGAGAACGGAGAGAAGGGUUCACGGCCUCUACAUGAAAUGAUACCCAGCGUUUAUUCAGCUUUUACUGAUUUGCAGGCACAGUUCUAACUGCAUUAUAUGGAUCAUCUCAUUUAAUCCUGGCAACAACUCAAUGAUGAUGAAGGUCACAUCCAUAUUAAUUGCCCUUAUAGUGAAGCCUUCCUGGAGGCCACCUGUCAGCACAUCUGGAGUUCAUGUUGCUGCUGCUUCCAACACGGCACCAUUUCCAUCUCUACUCUGACUUCAAAGACCCAUCAAGGUUGAUGAUAUUUAAUGCAUGUGAUGUGGGGAAGAAGAAAUAGUCCUUGGUGAAAUAAGUGUGGGAAACAGGAUAUUCAAGUAAGGAAGUGUUUUUGUUCCAAUAUUUCUCAUAGUUUUUGGUAUCUUAAUACCCAAUGCACACCCCUCAAAGAAAGGGUGUGAUUUGGAGAAAUACUUCCUGAUUUUAUUUUGCUCAUUUAUCUGUGGUUUUUUUGUUUCCAAAUUAUAUCAUAGAACAUGCUUUAGGAAAUGCUAACUUAGCCUCUGAUAUUCAAAUAGAUUUUUUUCAUGUGGCUCUCUGUAUCUAUUAGCAUCCUGUUAGAUAUCUAUCACUGCCCAAGACCAGUACUGACUGUUCAAUGUCCAAUACUGUCUUGGCCCAAAUUUUGCCUUUUUUCCAACCUUGCCUAACCCUGGACCAACAGUCUGUAGUUUAAGUGGCCCACUGAUGGAGGUCUUCUGGUUAUAUUAUGUUGGGUGAGGAGACAGACAAUACAUGAAUAGGAAAGAAUGGUAUGCUGAAUGGUGAUCAGUGCCAUGAAGAAAAAAAUAAAGAAAGGUAAGCUGUAAAAAAGAGUAAGAGACAAGUCACUAUUUCAGGUAAGGAAGCCAGAAAUAGCUUGUGUAAUUUAGGUGCUAUUUGGACAGACACGUAUCAGAGGUUCAUAAGUGAAUUACUGGUAACAGGUAGCAGUAGUUUAGAUGGGCCUCAUGGUAACUUUGGGUGAGCCAUUCGUUUUUUUAGGACUACCAUUAGGCUCUUUUUGAGAAUCCCUAGCAGUACAAGUACAUGGCUAUUUUUAUAGUUCAAGUUCACUUAUCUGGAAAUUUAUAAAUACCCUUAUCCUCUUUAAGGAUAUACUAAAUUAUUAACAAAAUGCUAAUUGGUACCAUUCUGAUGUUCAUUCAGUGGAAUUCUAAAUCUAAACUUCAGCAAUUCUUAAAAAGAAGGAUUUCUCAAUUUCAAGUAUUUUCUCUAAGCACUCAUAACUUUAAGAAAAGGUGAAAUUUGCGUGAUUUCUUCAACAUGACAGGCUUUUUUUCUCUGAAUCAGAAUCACCUUUCUACCUUGCUGAAUUGAUGUAUACUUUAUUGACGAAAAUUUAAUCUUACUCUAUUUUUCUUCCUCAGAAAACUAUAGUCCACAUGUCUGUCAUUACUAUUUUCUCUUAUUUUGAAUAUUCUCAUAUUUUAAAGUCAUAAUAGUAAUAAAAAUACUACCAUGGCAUAGUUUACUUUGCAGGUCCCAUUACAAUUUUUUAUAUAUUUUCAUCAAAUUAGCUUCUGUAACAAAUUCUGAAUUGAUAUAUUUUGAACAAUUAUAUGUGCAAUACUAUGUGCAGUCCAAAGUGCUGAGAAUGCAAAGUGCCAUAGGACUUUGCUGUAGGACCCUUCUUUCAUGGAGUUUAUAUUCUAGAGUAGACAGACAAUAACCAAUCACAUUAGGUACCACUAGGUUUUCUGAUCUAUAGGUGAGGAGACUGAGGCAGAUUGAACUUAGGUUUUCCUCGUUUUAAAGACCAAGCUUUUCAUAAUUAUGUCAUUCCUGCAUCUUAAAAAGGAAAAUAGAGAAACUCAUCCAUAAGCCAAGAGUUCAUUAAAGUAUUGGCCCCUAAAUAAAUGAGCAUUAAAAAAUUAAAGUAUUGGCCCCUGUUUUGUGAUAAAUACAUGAUACCAAGUUCAAGAAUAAUAAGUAUUUCUCAUGUUAUAAGUCCCUGGUUCUCCAACCUCAGCUUGGAAAAUAUCACUAGAAGUAUUGGAUGAAAUUAAAGAUUUCUGAGCUCCAUCUUCAGCCUGUCUGUACUCAUCUGUAUUUUUAACAAGGAUCUCGGGUGAUGCCGACGCAGAUGGCUUGUGAGCCAAACUUUGUGAAAUGUAUUUGAUAAUAGUAAGGUCUGCACAUUCUAAGCCAGACAGUCGAUAAUUAAACUAAUGGGUCCAUCAGACAAGACUGGCAUGCACAGGGCCGUGGAAGUGCAGCAUCAAAGAGAGCUCAUAAGAAUGAGUUAGAAACAUUGAAAAGGUAACAACCUUGA